GUACGAGCUAGACUGGGGAGUUCGGCGUUCCCUGCAACCAGAAAUCGUCGAUACGCUGGAGUCGAAGUCGAGAGGCGGUAUGUCUGGCGGCAGGUGAUCCAUUUGCGGACGAUGAGAUCUCGUCCCUAGGGAUUGGAGGCGAUGGUCGUGCAUGACCGGAGGGUCAUGCAUCCAUCCCUGCUGUGGGCACCGGGUCAGGCACGGAAGUGAGCAGCCCUACCACAGACUCUCAAUGCUCUAGGGGCUGCGGGAUUGAGAAGGCAAAUGGGAAGUCAUUUGUCGUCUUGCAUACCCACUCGAGACGCGCUCGUAC
rnacentral:SRP_RNA from 1 species